rnacentral:rRNA from 1 species
UACGUAGGGUGCGAGCGUUGUCCGGAAUUAUUGGGCGUAAAGAGCUCGUAGGCGGUGUGUCACGUCGGCCGUGAAAACCUGCAGCUUAACUGUGGGCGUGCGGUCGAUACGGGCAUCACUGGAGUUCGGCAGGGGAGACUGGAAUUCCUGGUGUAGCGGUGAAAUGCGCAGAUAUCAGGAGGAACACCGGUGGCGAAGGCGGGUCUCUGGGCCAGUACUGACGCUGAGGAGCGAAAGCGUGGGUAGCAAACAGG